rnacentral:rRNA from 1 species
GUGACCUCAAAUCAGGUAGGACUACCCGCUGAACUUAAGCAUAUCAAUAAGCGGAGGAAAAGAAACUAACAAGGAUUCCCCUAGUAACUGCGAGUGAAGCGGGAAAAGCUCAAAUUUAAAAUCUGGCAGUCUUUGGCUGUCCGAGUUGUAAUCUAGAGAAGUGUUAUCCGCGCUGGACCGUGUACAAGUCUCCUGGAAUGGAGCGUCAUAGAGGGUGAGAAUCCCGUCUUUGACACGGACUACCAGGGCUUUGUGAUGCGCUCUCAAAGAGUCGAGUUGUUUGGGAAUGCAGCUCAAAAUGGGUGGUAAAUUCCAUCUAAAGCUAAAUAUUGGCGAGAGACCGAUAGCGAACAAGUACCGUGAGGGAAAGAUGAAAAGAACUUUGGAAAGAGAGUUAAACAGUACGUGAAAUUGCUGAAAGGGAAACGCUUGAAGUCAGUCGCGUCGUCCAGGGAUCAACCUUGCUUUUGCUUGGUGCACUUUCUGGUUGACGGGUCAGCAUCAAUUUUGACCAUUGGAAAAAGAUUAAGGGAAUGUGACAUCUUUGGAUGUGUUAUAGCCCUURGUUGUAUACGAUGGUUGGGAUUGAGGAACUCAGCACGCCGCAAGGCCG